UAUAGUUAUAUAUUUCUUAAAAUUGCAGCUAAAUUUAUUGUCACAGUAUCACACAAAAAUUGCAUAUUUUCAUUAUAUUCAGCAUUUCAGUUUGGAAGAUUGUACGUUCUGGAAUGUCGUACCAGAUAGUGCAUUUACAAGCUUCAGAAUGUUUCAGUGCAAAUGCACUCCUGACACGCAGCCCAAAACUGUUUCAAGGAUGCAUUUCUCUUUUUUACAUUUACAUUUACAUUUUUCUUUAACCAUAUAUUUUGUAUUUGUUUAUUCUUUUUCUUUUUUGUUUGUAACUGAAAAUCGUCGAGCGUAACAAGAAAGAGACAGGCAGAGAGAGAGAGAGAGAGAGACGGCGGCGUGUCAGUGUCAGGGCGGUAGGCUUGGCGAGUGGGCGUGGCAUCGUUGAGAGCGCUUGUUACCUUUGCUUGUUAUAUUCCUCAUCAUGUAUCAAAAUCAAAAGCAAAAGCAAAAACACACGAAAAAAUCAAAUCAAACACAAAAACAAAAACUCAACCAUGCAAGAGCGACAGAGAGAGAACAUAAAAAACGUUAUCAAUUGAAAAAAAUUCAAAUUGUGAUUAGCAAAUGUGGCGACAGUUGAGAGGAGGAGUGGAGGAGGAAGUGAGUCUAGUGCCUGGGGGCGACUGCUUAACUGGGUCAAUGUUUACUUGUAAUACAACCCAUCCGUCAUGGCAGCUUUAGCCGGAAAAUGCAGCGUAAAUAAACCGAAAAACCCAAAACGAAGCAGACAUCAAACGGUGAGGAGGGGAGGGGGGAGGAAAUGACAGAUAAGAUAAGCACGCUUUAAAAGCGAUUACAACCGAAAAAUCGUAUCGUAUCGUUUCGUAUCGUAUCUCUAAUGCCAAAGUCAACUUCCAACUUCGUCGCCAGUUGCCAGGAAAGAAAUUCAAAGCCUCAUGACGUCAAAUUGAUCGCGACAAAGUUUUGCGUACUCAACGAGAACGGAACUCAAGCGUGGCGCAACUUUAA